rnacentral:tRNA from 1 species
UCCCCAGUGGUCCAAUGGUUAAGACUCUGAGUUCUCAAUGCAGGGGAUAUGGGUUUGAUCCCUGGCUGGGGAA